GCGAGAGUGGCGGAACUGGCAGACGCGCAGGACUUAGGAUCCUGUACCGCAAGGUGUGGGGGUUCGACUCCCCCCUCUCGCA
rnacentral:tRNA from 1 species